rnacentral:tRNA from 1 species
GGGCCGGUAGUCUAGUGGUUGCGCCUUUUGGGCACGUCCGCCCAAAACCCGCGGGAAAAUACGCCUGCCGGCAACGCCACAUAUGACGUCUGCUUGACGUGCAGAAGGUCGCUGGUUCGAACAAGGGGCACUGAUGCGCGCGCUGCACGCGGUUUCGACCGCGGCAUGCCCUUGAACCCCUACGAUACGUGGGGUACGGAAAUCCGGCCCGGCCCACCA